GGGGAUUUAGCUUAGUGGCAUAAGUGCCUGCCUGACAAGCACGAGGUCAUAAGUUCAAUCCCCA
rnacentral:tRNA from 1 species